rnacentral:rRNA from 1 species
GAUGAACGCUAGCGAUAGGCUUAACACAUGCAAGUCGAGGGGCAGCACAAGGUAGCUUGCUAUCUGGGUGGCGACCGGCGCACGGGUGCGUAACGCGUAUGCAACUUGCCCUAUACAGGAGGAUAACCCGUCGAAAGACGGACUAAUACUGCGUAUGCUCACAACUUGGCAUCAAGUGGUGAGGAAAGAAAUUCGGUAUAGGAUAGGCAUGCGUCCCAUUAGCUUGUUGGUGAGGUAACGGCUCACCAAGGCAACGAUGGGUAGGGGAACUGAGAGGUUUAUCCCCCACACUGGUACUGAGACACGGACCAGACUCCUACGGGAGGCAGCAGUGAAGAAUAUUGGUAAAUGGGCGCGAGCCUGAACCAGCCAAGUCGCGUGAAGGAUGACUGUCUUAUGGAUUGUAAACUUCUUUUAUACGGGAAUAACAAGAGUCACGUGUGACUCCCUGCAUGUACCGUAUGAAUAAGCAUCGGCUAACUCCGUG